CAACAGUGAGGGAAUUUACCUCCUGCUUCAUGCAUGCAACAUCAAAAUAGAAGAGUGACCUAUGGGAUCCAUGGAGGAGCUGCUUCCUGAAUCUGUGUAAAGUAGAUCUUGCCGUGUGGGUAACUGUGACUGCGGUGGCCAUGAAGAGGCACAACUCAGACCUCGGAUCUCCUGCUGCAGAGAACAUUGACUGACAGCCCAGCAGCUCCUGUCUGGAUCUACCACCUGUUCACAGUGAGGCCAACAUCCCCCAGGCUGCUCCCAGCCCAGGGCUGAGCAUGGCAUGGUCCUAAUGCUCUUAAAGACCUCUAGAUCUCUCUAGAGAUGUAGGACUCUUCCAACAGGCAACUUUGGCUCAGGGCUCCCCAUCAGCUGGCCUAACCUUUCUAGGAACUGUGCUGUGGCUAACGGUCUCCCAGCCCAUCCCUGCCCUUUUCUCUCUCCUUCACAGGGGCCAGACCUGCAUUUCCACCUGCAGGAUCUCCUUGCCUGCUCCUGCUCCCUCCCCUUUCCUUAACAUGGGCUCCCCAGUAAAUCAUUUACAUGUUUAAUCCUGACUCUGCAUCUGCUUCUCCAAGGACCCAAACUAACUCAUGUACAGUAGAAAAUGAUUGACUUUUGACUUGGUCCUGGAUUCAUAUCUUGUCUCUGUCGCUUAUUAACAACAUAAACUUCCAUCACUCAACCCCUCCUUAUUUUCCUCAUCAAUUAAAAUAUUUCUUACUCCUAAAGUUAUGGUGAAUAUUGGAAGAGUUAAUUUUUGAAGAGCACCUGUGAUGUGCCUCCUAGAACAGGGACAGUUUGUUCCUUUCUCAUCAUUAUCCUUUAGCAGUGAUGGAAUGGGACUCUAUGCUGGUGAGUUUUGAUAAGAGAUUGCAAGGAAGUGAGAGAGGAAGAAUAUCAGCUGCAGCACAUGACAAGUCUGCCUCCUGGGUCAGGUUCCCCUGACAGCGUUGGUGCCUGGGGCAUAAAGAUGCUGGGUGCCAGGGAAGGGAAGGAUGGGGCACUGGAGGGAGACCAAAUUCAAUCAUUUUAAGUCCAGUCCCCAGUUCUGUGCAAUUCUUAGUGUAAAGUUUUUAAAAAGAACAUUAAAGACAGUUACAAAGCCGAGAAAUGGUCCUGUCUCUCUGAGCAGCGCUGGCCAUGCUUAACCCACCACCCCCGUCACCCGCACCCACCCCUGUCUCAGGGCCCUUCAGUGUCACACACAAAGGGGCCUCACCUCUGAUUCACAUUCUGAGGAGAGCAAGUUCAUGGAUCAAAGAACAUGACUAAUGGCCGUGGAACUUUCUGAAGAGCCCGGAACAUUUAAUUAUUAUGAACAAUUUAGUUCACUUCAAGUGGUUUACCUAAGCUCCAC
rnacentral:lncRNA from 1 species